GAGUCGAUAGCUCAAUGGCAGAGCAGUAGGACGAUAUCCUACCUACCGGCCCCAGGUUCGGUUCCCGGUCUACGCU